CACGUAGGGGGCAAGCGUUGUCCGGAUUUAUUGGGCGUGAAGAGCUCGUAGGCGGUUCGAUAAGUCGGGUGUGAAACCUCCAGGCUCAACCUGGAGACGCCACCCGAUACUGUCGUGACUAGAGUCCAGUAGGGGAGCGUGGAAUUCCUGGUGUAGCGGUGAAAUGCGCAGAUAUCAGGAGGAACACCAGCGGCGAAGGCGGCGCUCUGGGCUGGCACUGACGCUGAGGCACGAAAGCGUGGGGAGCAAACAGG
rnacentral:rRNA from 1 species